UACGAAGGAUGCAAGCGUUAUCCGGAUUCAUUGGGUUUAAAGGGAGCGUAGGUGGCCUUAUAAGUCAGUGGUGAAAUCUCUGGGCUUAACUCAGAAAUUGCCAUUGAUACUGUAGGGCUUGAGUAUAGUUGCCGUUGGCGGAAUAUGACAUGUAGUGGUGAAAUACAUAGAGAUGUCAUAGAACACCGAUUGCGAAGGCAGCUGACGAAACUAUAACUGACACUGAGGCUCGAAAGCGUGGGGAUCAAACAGG
rnacentral:rRNA from 1 species